AACGAACGCUGGCGGCAGGCUUAACACAUGCAAGUCGAACGGGUGUAGCAAUACAUCAGUGGCAGACGGGUGAGUAACACGUGGGAACCUUCCUAGGGGUACGGAACAACUCAGGGAAACUUGAGCUAAUACCGUAUACGUCCGUGAGGAGAAAGAUUUAUCGCCCUUAGACGGGCCCGCGUCGGAUUAGGUAGUUGGUGGGGUAACGGCCUACCAAGCCUACGAUCCGUAGCUGAUCUUAGAGGGUGAUCAGCCACACUGGGACUGAGACACGGCCCAGACUCCUACAGGAGGCAGCAGUGGGGAAUCUUGGACAAUGGGCGCAAGCCUGAUCCAGCCAUGCCGCGUGAGUGAAGAAGGCCUUAGGGUUGUAAAGCUCUUUUACCAGGGACGAUAAUGACGGUACCUGGAGAAUAAGCCCCGGCAAACUUCGUGCCAGCCGCCGCUGUAAUAC
rnacentral:rRNA from 1 species